GUUACUAAACAUGUUAGACUUAGUCCAUCUAAAAGUUACCAUUCUUAACUUAUUCAUGACAAAGCCAGGAACUAAACCAGGAUUUGUGUCGGGGAUGCCUUUGAAAGAUGGACACCAUUGAAUGUUUUCAUCUGACGCAAAACUUGCUCAUUUCCUUCUUGAUAGAGACUCCAGUUGUUCCGUGUCCAGCUGCUCCUCCAAAGGAACCUUGGAAAAACAGACCAAUUCAUGAAAUGAGUCUGUCAAUAUCAAAUAUUCAAUAGACAGGAUUGAACAGAGGAGGGAGGAUAUCCUGUUACGGCCUGAGGAAAAGACUAGAAGAAUGCUUUAGCUAGUGGAAGUUGUGUGUCAUCGCACAGGAGUUGUGUAGCCAUGGCUUGAGCUGACAUUCCACACAUAGCGAGCUCAGAGCUCAGAUGCCAAUGAAUGUAAUGAAAGACCGUCGAGCCCGCCUGCAAAGUUUUAGGUGCAAACUGAGUGCAGGAAUGCAUAAAAGAUGUAAUAAU